UUUUAAUUGGGGACUGGUAUGAAAGGUUGAAUGAGGAAUAGACUGUUUUGCUUAUAAAGUUAGAAUUUGAUUAUCAAGUAAAAAGGCUUGAAUUUUGUAAAGUGACAAGAAGACCCUAAGAGUUUUAUAUAGAUAGUAAAGUUAUAAUAGUGAAGUAGUUAGUAGCAUGAGGUUUAAAAGUCUAUGUUUGGCUGGGGCGGUUGAAAAUAUUUCGUUUUUGGUAAUUACUAUAAUAGUAGUAAUAGUUAUAAAAUUAUCCUAAUUGGAAAGCAAAAUUAAUUACCUUAGGGAUAACAGCAUAAUCUUCUUUGAGAGAUCAUAUUGACGGGAAGGUUUGUGACCUCGAUGUUGGAUUCGAAUAACUAUAAGGAGCAGAGUUUUUAUAAGUUGGUCUGUUCGACCAUUAAAUCUCACCAUGAUUUGA
rnacentral:rRNA from 1 species